AACAAGAGAACAGGUAGCACGUCAAGGUUUGAAAAAUGUGAACUUUGGUGCGUAUGAUGGUGCUGUGUCAUUUGUCAACAUAGAUAAUAAUCACUGGAAGUUUGUGUAUCUUCAUGCACUGUCGGGCGUUGUGUUUGUGAUUGAUCCAGCUUUUGCUGCGAAUGACAUGGAAG